rnacentral:tRNA from 2 species
GGAGGGGUGGUCGAGUGGUUAAUGGCAGCGGACUGUAAAUCCGCCCGCGUGAGCGUACGUAGGUUCGAAUCCUACCCCCUCCACCA